UCUUUAUUGUAACAUUUAAUUUUGUAGCCUUUCUUUGAUAAGGUAAUUCACCCUUUUGAUUUCAUGACGAGUGAGUGGUGAAGACUGCUACCUAUAGGAUGUACGUAAUAUCUGGAUCCACCAAGAUAUUGUCUUCUAGGGAGGUCUGGCGUUUCCCGUCGGGGCUUACUGUAGCUAGCGAGCUCGAUUUGACAGUUAGUUCAGGCAAGAUAACGAGUACGGUUGUCAUGUUGCUAUCUAAACGCUUCAGACGCUAAAAGCUAGUUUAGUGAGACUACCAGGCUAGCAGCGUAGCUCUAUAGCGCAAGUCAGUGAAGUAUGCGUUCUUGAAUCCUUAGACCGAUAUAUAUAUAUAUACAUAUUUAUAUAUAUAUAUAUUUUUUUUUGUAAUGUAGCUAGCCAUAGUUUUAGCCGGGGUACAUUUCGUAUGCUGUUUCAGUUUUCUUGGAUAGUCGUCGGCUGAAACACAAUAGGACUAUCCUUUACAGCGCAAUAGGGUCUUGGCCUAGAUCAAGCAAUGGAUUAAAUUCUAAAUCAGUGCCACACAAAGAACCAUUGCAUCAGCAGCUUGCAGAAAAUCAGGCAAGACUAUUUCAGUUAUCAUAGGGAGCCUACUACCUAGUUCAGUACACCGUGCUGUCAGUUUCGCCAGCUACCUAAACGCUACAAUCAAACAUUCCUUUAGUGUUUGAGCAUUUAUAUUCUGCUGCGUAUUUGGCUAGCGAGCUUGCCAACCAAUUCUCGAUUUGGUCAUUUAGUUUGCUAAGUUAGUUAACGCCAGACAACGUCAGCUUGAUACAGACCCAGUUUAAUAACUCAACUAGGUAUAUUGGUAUAACUAAAAUAUCUAGUUACAUGAAAACAUGUUUGUUUGAAAUAUCUGGUAAGCAUUGGUAACGCUAUCAAGUUCACCAACUAGCUUGAUAGUAGUAGCUAGCAAGGUUAGAUGUAUUUGCUGACUGUCAGUGGUCUGCCAGGAUCCCCAUAGGAGCACAAGCUUUAACAUUUUCGUCUCACUUUGAGCAUUUCAUGAAUGUAGAAUUUUGAUUUUUGCAAGAAAGGUGACAGUGGUUUGUUAAUAUGUCCCGUAGAUUCUCGGCAGUGGUUUUUAUGCACAAGUAACUUACUAAGUUGACACCUGCAGCAAAUAGGCGCAUGCACUUCUUUUUCAGUGUGUUUUAGUGGUUCCCGGUAACACGUUUUGUGCAAGCGUUAACCCAGAGCUGCAUUUUGAGGUACGCCGUAGUCAAAUAUUGCGCGAACGCAUUCGUAAUUGGGGGUUUUCAUUCAAUUUCGCAAUCUUGUGAUGUAGGUUAUAUGCAUGUAUCCAUUAAAAUAUUGAGCUAUACGAUGGUCUGUGAGCAAAGAUAUAAGAUGCAUGAAGCUUCACUUUUUAAGACCCCCACUAGUGUAGCCAUAAAUACUUUACAGCUACGUGGGGAAUAUAUGCUUCGUGGUCAGGAGAAUGCAUGAACACUGCAAGCAGUGAACAUUUUCUUUUGGCAAUUCGAAGCGUAGCCACUAAAGCAACAUGCAGAAUCGGUUGUAUGAUGUCAUUCCUUUAGAAGCGUCAUAAUGCUGAAAUCUCGUAUUCUGGUCGUUACACGGGUAGUUUGUUCUGAUUUGUAAGUGUAACGUUAGUAGUACGCUAAAUAGUAGGGGGUUUGGAGACCUCCUUUACUGUCCUGCACGCGGAGUUUAUGUCUAAGGCACAUGGUGGAGGGUUCCCUUGACAUGAAUCUGGGAUUAACUUGUUUCCCCUCUGAAUUCACAACAGUGAAGUUGUUUCAGGAGAUAAGCAUGUGAAAUCAAAGUAUCUGAAUGUUUUCAUUUUAUUUCCUGCUGUUUGGCAUCAGAACUUUUGGCUGAGGGCAAAAUGUUAAUGUCAUGGCCUGUGUCUUUAAAACCACAAUUUUAAAUCAGGCUGUGAUUUACCAGAUUGCUGUGAAUUGUGUAUCUUAAGUGAUGGUUAAGAGCAGAAGAUUGAUCGGCAUCUGAAGGAAAUGCAGUGUACUGUAACUGUUCACAAUCCUUUUAUGACAGAAAUUGACAAGCGUAAUAUUGCCUGUGUUUACUCGAGUUUUUAAUGUUAAAUUAGUUCAGACUGUUUUGUUGAAGGGACUCCAUGUCAUACAAAGUGUACUAGCAGAUGACUUCUGUUAUUUUAGUGUCACAAGCAUAAAGAUGAAUUUUAUGAUGAGAACUUCAGUGUUGAUCAGUAUUUGCUGUUGAAGUGGAUGGAGAUGAAGCACAGGUGAUGUGAAUUAACCCCCUCCCUCAAUAGUUAAAUAAAUGAUUUGGAAGAUGAAUAUUAGAAAUAUAAAUCUCGAUGGACGAAUUGCCCCUUUUAUUGCUGGUGACUUGGUGUUAAAACAUCAUGGCUCCUCCAGUUAUGUAAUGUUCUGAGUUCUAGGAAUUGGCUUAAAAUAGUGUAGUGGUCUUGCAUCAGCGGUGGCGUUUCUGUGCCUAGCAUUGGCAAUGCAAUAGCAUGGGUUUAAUAAUUAGCCAGGCUUAAAACUAUUAUUAUUAUUGAUAAAAUUCUUGCUGCUGUUCUCCAAUCUUGUCAGAACAUGAAAUGAGGUAAUUCUAUGUUUCAAUAAACACUUUCAAUUUA